rnacentral:rRNA from 1 species
UACGGAGGGUGCAAGCGUUGUUCGGAAUCAUUGGGCGUAAAGCGCGCGUAGGCGGCCCGGUAAGUCCGCUGUGAAAGUCAAAGGCUCAACCUUUGAAUGUCAGCGGAUACUGCCGGGCUAGAGUCCGGAAGAGGCGAGUGGAAUUCCUGGUGUAGCGGUGGAAUGCGCAGAUAUCAGGAGGAACACCAACGGCGAAGGCAGCUCGCUGGGACGGUACUGACGCUGAGGCGCGAAAGCGUGGGGAGCAAACAGG